rnacentral:lncRNA from 1 species
GAACGAGUUGACAUGCUUAAAGUCCAACCAAACACAAUAAAAAAAGUGAAAAAAGGACAGUAUAAUAUUAUAGAUAGCUUCAAAUGUAACAAAAAGAUUCCCCUCCAUCUAAGAUAUAAGCGUGAAGAUUUUUUAAGGGACGAUUUAGAUUUCAUAAAAGCUUCUUUUGAGUGUAAUCUGCCAGCAGUUAUGUCAAACAGGAACGAAAACACAG